GGGGCUGUGACUCAGUGGUAAAGUCUCUGUUUGGCAUGCAGAAAAUCUCAGGUUUAAUCCCUGAUAUUUCCC
rnacentral:tRNA from 1 species